rnacentral:rRNA from 1 species
UACGUAGGGGGCGAGCGUUGUCCGGAAUUACUGGGCGUAAAGAGAGCGUAGGCGGCACUACAAGUCUCAUGUGAAAUACCCGGGCUUAACUUGGGGGUUGCAUGGGAAACUGUAGAGCUUGAGUACAGGAGAAGCAAGCGGAAUUCCUAGUGUAGCGGUGAAAUGCAUAGAUAUUAGGAGGAACACCAGUGGCGAAGGCGGCUUGCUGGACUGAAACUGACGCUGAGGCUCGAAAGCGUGGGGAGCAAACAGG